rnacentral:misc_RNA from 1 species
AAGUGAUCGUGUGUGGGGGGAGGAGGAGAGUUUAUGCGCGCGCGCGCCUCCUCCUCCCCACCGCCAAUCUUGUGUGAACCGUUAUUCUGUGGUGUGUGUAUGCGUUGGUGUGUGAUGUGUUUACAGCACUCCCACCAGCAUCACAAACACAAUAAUCUCUCUUUAACCUUUGUCUAACAUGAUGUACCCACAAUUCAAAA